ACACCUGAUCCAGGUAAUCAGCAGCAAGAAGCCCAGUGAGCUGGAAAGCAGGCAUGGUGGUGGACCACGAGGACGGGGAUGCAGAGGAUUUUGUGUCAGGAAAAUCUUUCAAGGUUAGGAGAAUAAAUCAAAGUGGAGUUCUUACCAUGAGCUGGACCGGGCUGUUCCUCCAUGUGCUUCCUCUGCUGCAGUCCGGAGAACCAGAGGCACCGCGUCAGCAGCUUUGAGUGAGACUGAACAAUGAGACGAGAUGGCGGCCGAGGAAGGUGAACCCAAACCACAAAAGGAGAAUCCAACAGACACGUUAAUCAUGGGAGCAGCCAAAUUCUCACAGACGCACGAUCGCUGCAGAUUCAAAGACCAACUCCAAUGAAAGUUGUCUUUUUGGUGUUUUAACAUGUUCUUAUAGAGUUUUCUCAUAAUGGAGAACACAUAUAAAGAAAGUAAAGUUUGAAUUUACUUUUCUUUAUUCACAUCGUUGUGACCUUGAAGCAGACGACAAAAUGCUGUUUUAAAAAAAAGAACUGUAUUUGUGACGUAGAAGCUUUAAAGGACAGGAAAACAAGCUGCCUGCUCUGCUC